GAGGGAAGGACAACAGCAUGUACUUAGAAAUUAUUAAUGUUAUUUUGUUAUUUAUUUGUUUCUGGUUUGAUUUGUGUUUCCUUUUUUUUGUUUUUUGGUUUUUUUUUUACCUUAAAGCAACUCCUCACAGUCUUUUAUUUGCAAAGAAACACGAUGUACUUAUCAACAGAACUGUUUUUGAGCUAUGGCAUUUUUAGCUUCUGCUCCCUUGAGCUGUUGGUGAGACAUUGAGCAAUACUUGUUUAGUGGCUUUAGAAGUUGUGUAAAUCAUUUUAGUCAACAAACUUGGCUGCUCUUUCAAGUUAAUGUGACCUUAAAAUGUAAUGGUAGAGUAUUUGUUUUUGCAAUGUUAAUGUAGGUACUUUUGCUUAUAAACAAGAAGCAUCUAUAAAAAGGACUCUGCAAAGCAACAGUCAGUCCGGAGUGUGCAAUAGUGCUCCUUCCACAGCGCCAGCCCUUUCCAGAGAGUGAGCUAAAUCACCAUCUUGCUGAAGCCUGUGGGAAAUGUUUCCAUUCACUUUAACAUUAUCAAGAUUUGGCAUAGUAAGAAAAUAAGCCCUGGGUGUCAACAUACUCUACCUCUUCCAGAAGCACAGAUGUGCGUUUUGGCCCUCUGACAUGUAUGUUUUAUGGUUAGCCACUGGUUUAUUAGUGUAAGUCUCAAAGGAUUCCUUGAACCCAUCAGCAGAAAAUGAAGGUGCAAACCCUAAAGCUUUCCCAUUAGAUGAGAAUCUCCUUUUUCCCAUCAAUGACAGUUGCCUAUGCCAUGGAAGUAUAUCAGCAGCUUUUCUGCUCUACGGAUUAUAUCCUGUGUUUUGCAGCUUACACUUCAAUCUUUUUUUUCCUGUUAAAGCCCUGCCGGGAGUAUUCAGUCAUGCAAAGUCAUUAGAAGUCAGUGGCGAGGAUCCUCAUUGACUUCAGAGGAAUUUGGAUGAAGGCCAUAUAAUUAAGCCACAGAAAAGGCUGUUUCGCUGUAUUAUCUUUUCCUGGUUUAACUGUGUCACCUGGAUAGAUCAUGCAAUCUCCAUCCUCUAUGGCUAGUAAAAAUGGCACCAAAAGCUAAUGAAUAGCCAGCAAGUUGCGAAAGGUUGUUGGUGUUAUCAGUUAAUUAUUUUUUGCUGCUUGAACCUAUUUUUUCCUUUUUUUAUUGUUGGCAAAUCAUCGUAUAACUUUCUCUUUUACUUAGGUGAUUGAGUUUUGCCAGCUGAUGUCCUGGCUACAUGGACAGUAUUUAUAUACCUCUGAAAGAAUGAGCUGGAAGACGAGUGUCCUGUUCCUUGUCCAUCUCCUACUUCAGUUUUGUACAAUUGGACUUUGACGAGAACAGCGCAGAGGGUGGUACAGGCACACUUAGUGGCGUGACAGCCUGUUUUGAUGUGCUCAUGCACAGGGAUUCUCUCACUUUCCAGAGGUUUUAAAUUUGCUGGAGGGCAGACCUUCUGCUUGGACAAGAAAGGUCUGAUCUCAAUGGUGGUUUCAGUCCUUCCCUGAGGAUGUGGUGUGAAAGUUCCUGCUACUGAGGGAAAAAAGCAAACAGCCUCUCCUGCGUUUUAGCUAUUGGCUGUGAAUCACUGUCUCUGGCUGCAGCCCACUCCUCUGAAGUGUGUUUCAUCUGUAGUAAUAACAACCAGCUUCUGAUUUUGGGACUCAAACGCUUCAAAGGAGCCUCAGUUCCUCUCUGAAAGACAUUGGAUAUGAUUUCCUCCUCCUGUGAUGCUCAUCCCGGAUGAUCCCCGACACCUUAGCAGGGGCAGCCUGAGGGAGAAAAACCUCAGGGUCCCCAAUCCUAUGUCUGGGCUCACAAGCAAAGGGCUGCAGGAAUAGGAGGGGAAGGACCUGGAGGACUGAGGGACUGUAAUGUCCUCUCCUUUUCUGGGAGAUGGGAAAACCGAUGUAUUUUGCUUAAGUACAACACACCAAUAGAAUCAUUGCAAUGUGCUAGAUAGUAUGUGUAAUGUUGCAAAUAAUGAUUCUUUUGAUUACACCGUGGUAUGAGGGACAGUGAGUUUUGCCCUGCCUUAGCUCCUUUGUGUGGGAGCAUCAGGGAGGGAAUGGUCUCCUCCCUUCCCUGUUCCUGCCCCUCAAACAGAAGCUCUGCUUAUGCCUGUCUCCUGAGUCAGCCUCAACAGCACAGGGCAGGGAGAGACUCUUGAGAGGCUUUGAGUUUGCAUUGCCAGCCUCCAAGAGCAGCUGGGCCUCCUUCCUUUCAUCGGAGCUGCCUCUGAAGGAUGAAAUGCCCAAACCAUGGACUGCUGAGAAUAAGUGCGGUGAAGAAGAGUGAACAGCAAGGAAACAGCAAGAGGUGGAUUAGCUGGAUGAAUUUCGUAUCACGAAGCUGAAAGAUUUUACACUUCAGCAAGCCAAGUACCUUGAAAGAAGAGUUUCGAGGCAAGAAGAGAAAGCCCCUGAGGGUCUUCCUCUUUCCAUUAUGAAUGACACAAUUUAGAGGCUUUCAGCUCAAAAAGCCCUGCUGACAUGAGUGACUUACCAAAGUCGGAUCGUGCUGGCUGAAAGAAUAUUUGUUACAAGACUCGGCUCCUAUGCAGCACCUAAGUGACCAGAGGUUUCAGAUGAGUUCAGUUCCUAAUGUUCUCACCAUUGCUUGCAGUGAGAAUUGCUGCGUUACUAGAUCUUUUCCCAAUCUGUCCCUACAUAUUUUAUGCAUCUAGCAUAAAAUAAAUACCUAUAGAAUAUGAUCUUGUUAUACUCACAUAAUACCUUCUAAAAAGGCAUCUCUCUAAACCAAGACACCAGUCUAUCUUAACCAUCAAGAUUAGUAGCUGUAGAUCUAAUUGUAACAGUUUUCUCCCGGUAUGUACUACAGGACUGGGGAACCAUCUGCCAAACAGAAAAGCGUAAAUUGAGCAAGGAAAGAAAAGCUGUCACUGAUCUUUUGAGUGGUGAUGGCUAUCAACAAAAAGGAAGCAGUUUGAGCCAAUCUCCAACCUGAUCUAGAACAUGCAAUGUGAAGACUUUCUGAAGAUAACACAACCUGAAUAAGAGGACAAAGCUGUGUGCUGUCUGGUUAUAUCGGCUGUGUAACAAGAAUACUAGUUCUAGCUGAAAUAUGAACAUCUGGUUUCCUAUUUGAAGAGUCACAAUCAGUCUUCUCCAGUAGCACAAACUGCUUACUGUACCUCAAACUUAAAGCUCUUUUGAAACAAUCACCGGAGAACCAUCUGGUUUUGACUUGUCUUGUCAGUAUCUGUCUUGUGAAACGUUAUUUUCAGGAUGUUAACAAACAACUCCAUCCAAAAAGUUCUUCCACGUUUCUUGUCAUCCAUGAUUGCAAAAAUUUAGAUGCCAUAUGCCCUGUCUUCCUUAGAAACUCAGAGAUGGCUUGUGCCAAGAAUUCCACAUGAGAAAUUUGCUUUGUGUUUGUUACUGUUCACAGGCUCUUGCUCAGCCCCAAGACUAAAGCAUAAUGUGCAUGUACAUAUAUGAAAAUACAUUGUCUUGGUGUCACGAACUGUGAGCCAACCCACCUCCCCCACUCCUCCUUCAUUGGAGUAAUUUCAUCAGUUGGGGCUUAUGAAGCAAGAAUUUUGCUAACCCUUUGUUCUCUAAAGCAUUAUUUAUUGUCUUCCCCUUCAUCACAGCCUACAUGCAGAGCCAGUAUGUAAGAAUGUAUGAUGUAUGAUUCAAUGCCAUGUAAAAAUUCUGCUUAGAUUCUCAUGUUUGGCACCAGUAGUAACCUUUGUCUGGUCUGUGACUGGAGAAAGACAGCUCCUGAGUGCAUAAAGUGCUUUUGACCUUACUUUCAAACACCCACAUGAACACUCAAAAUGGUGGAGAACUCAUUACAUUCAUGGUCCAGAAACUGGCAUUUUGUUUUCUGCCCCUGCUUUGUCUGACUUCGGGUGAAUGCAAUUGAAAAUGUCAAAGAUGCAGCUCCUAUGUAAUGUAAGAGGAGGAUUACAUUUUUUCUGACAUUGGAGGGGUGUUCCAACAAUGCAGCUGACGUAGGAGGGGACAGAUUACCGUGCAUCUGACAUAGCAGCAAUUAUAGGAAAUGUAUUUACAGGAAUGGAUGGAAAACAAAUUUAAUAUGCUGUUCCAGAGGAGGACAAUAAAGGUGUAUUGCAACAGUCCUUCCCCCAUCUGCAAAACCAUAUUUCUCACUUGUCUGUCGGCACAAACAAUCUGUGCUGUAUGGCAGGAAAUAUCAGACGCAAAUAUCACAUUAAUCUCUAAGGAAGGAUACCUGUUUUCGUAACUUGCUCAUUCACUAAGGUCUCUCAGUAGUGGCUCAGACAAUAGGUGGAUAUAUCAGGUUUUCCCUGUGGAAUAACUGUACCACUGGCACUGUGCUGCAAAUGUGACUUUUAUUUGGUUUCUGCUUUCUUGCAAAGCAAGUGAAGUAAAGAAGGGGAAGGGAAGAAGCUCCUAAUUUUUCAGUAUGCAGUAGACAAAUGCUGUUAAUGCUCUUUUCACAGGAGCCAGUGCACAGCCCCUUGCCUGGCAGAGGCACAGGCAGGCACAAGCAGAUGAAGCAAUUACUUACAACAACUGGAAAGCGAUAGCCUUUCCAUUUCAAGCUGCAGUGAGUGCACUGUGGAUCUCAAACAUUAAGGCAUUAAUAUAGAGGAAAGGGUGGCGGGGGGGAGGGGGGGCUUAUUCAUUUUGUCCCUAGGGAACGAUGUGUAGCUUUCUGCAUGAAUCAUUCACAAGUGAGGGGAGCAAAGUGGAGGCUGGAGUGAGGGACAUAAAAAAUGCCACAUUUGGGUCAGGGUUUCCAGCACAGCUAUCAACAAAGAACAUACGUGUAUAACAAAUUCUAUUGUCUCAGGCUAAUUCCUGUUGGGCACGUGUCCAUACUGCCCACAGCCGUACCACUGGGGCACCUCUGCAUCCGAUGGCACUCCUUUAAAAAGCAAUAGGAUGCUAGUGAAGGCCACGCUAAAAGGGACAAGGAUAAAUGACAUUACUGCCCUCACAGUUUGUCCCUCCAGCUCCAUACCAGGGCAGGCAUCCAGAGCCUGGUGAGGGCAUCCACAAUGGCUGGAGAAUAAUAGGCAGAUCUUGCUCAAGGGGAAACAUCUUGUGGAUACCCCAGCAGACGUAAUGUCAAGGGCAACAGCAUUCAGUCUUCUGGGCUGCCCACAGCAAGGUUCCCAAACUUAUUGACUGGGGGCUGGUUUCCCACCAUGUCCAUAAGGCUGGCAGAAUUGCCCUCACCUAUUUGUAGGGCUCCCAAAGAGGCAAGGGAAGGGGAAAAAAAAGUUUGGCCUCGAGUCUCGAGUUUUGGCUCCUACACAAAGCUCAAAUGUGGAGCUCCCACCGAGAGCCUUGGGCUGGUGGUGUCCUGGGGCUAUGAAGUCAUUGGAUAUGGAUGAAAGGAUGACCAAGCACCCUGACUGCUACAUGACAGCUUGGGACCAAUGCACGGCAGCCUCUGCAGCUUGUCCCUGCCCCAGCAUGGCUUUUUCACACAAGCCGUUUUCCUGCAGCACUCCCCUGUCAAAUGGAUUGUGGACAUGUCUUCCUCCCGCCUCUGCUCUCAUAUCUGAAGUCUGCUUACCAUUUAUUUUUUGCUUUGGAGCUGGAAGCUUCUUACUGAUCUUACACUGCUAAACUUCUCUGUCAGGUCUGGCCGAAAAAAAACCCAAGCAACAAAACAAUACACGAGCUACUGCAGCAUGUAGGGUGUUUCAGGGAGCAGUGGGAAGUCAUACACACUGUAAACAGAAACUGUGGGCAAAGAGUCACAAAGCCCUGGGGAGUACCAGAAAGCUAGCUGACUCUGUUUAACCUGCCUCUCUGUCCAUACUCCAGCUGGAAUUGGGGUCUAGCAUUAAAUUACAAGUAUUAAUCUUACAGAAAGUCCAGCCUGAUGUGAAAAAUCACAUAGAAGAGCUGCCUAUUAUAUAAACUGUUCUAAACCCAGUGUGUACAUAGCUUUAUUUAUACCAGCUGUAAGAUUAACAUUAAUCACUUAAUUGCAGUGUGAAAGAUGGCCUUGCAGUAAAAGCACUUUGCCUGGGCUCAGGACACAGAAGUGUAAUUCACAGCUCUGCCAUAGACUUGCCACAUCACCAUAACUGUUAAGACACUUCAUCUUGUAAGGGUUUUGCCCUCCUAAUAGUAAAAUAGGUAUAGUAAAUAGGGGAAACUACCUCUUUUCCUUAUGUGUUGUCCAUUUUGUUUAUGAAGAUCCUAUGCUCUUGGUGGGAAAGUGGCAGUUCCAAAUAUUGAUCUACAAGCAUCUGAACUCUGUGUGGUCCUGCCCCAGGAAAGUGCCUACCUGGCUAAUACUGAUGCUAAUGUUACAGUAACAGUAGCUUAACAUAGAUGUACUCAGCCCCAGAAGCUCUUGGGAUCAUCUUUAGUCAAAGCCCUUCGCAGAAGACGUGCUUUACUUCGCAGUAUACUUUGUAGAUGGAUGGUUUAAGAAAUGUUGAGCCACUGCAGCUUCCAUUAAAAUCAGCAGAAACAUCAGAUGCUCACUCUCUCUGAGAAUCAGCCCACACACUAUAAAAUUACUUUCAGCUAAAUGUAAACAGGCAUGGUUAGAAUACGGGUGUGUAUUUGCAUUUACUAUGAUCAUGACUUUCAGUCAUUAAGAUUAAAUGAUUGAAACAAAAACAUAAUUCAAAAGCCAUUAUUCAAUGUUGGUGGUUUAGCUUUAUUUAUUCUGGGCAAUGGAAAUAACCUGGCUGACUUCUCUUUCUACAUAAACUUUUCCUAUGUUUGUUGCCAGUUGUUAGUCAGGUUUGCAUGCCUCAGCACAGUGGAGCACUAUUAGAGUGACAAAGACAGAUAGGAAAUGAUUACAAUAAAAGAAAGACGCUCUCAAGGGCACAGACCACCUUGUUUGUUCUUUGUUUGUACUUCCCUUAAUACAAACAGAAACAGUCAGAGCCUUGAUAUUAAUGGUAGAUUUUGUAGCACAUUAUAUUUAGGAAAGUAAAGAACCUUAACAUACCUGGUGGCAACCUUUUAAAAAGCUAUUUUACAGCCCUAGAUAUGAAUGAAUGCUGAAGAGAAGCUCUACGUGCCUUCAUUCUGCAAGACAAGCUCAAUGUAUUAUGUCAGUGAAAUGUCAUCACCUCAUUAAUUUUUAAAUGUCAUAAACAUUAAUGACAAAAGAUCAUUGUUGUGAUGAUAAUUAUGUAACUCUGAUGCAAUGUUAUGACCAAAGACAUUCCAGUGGUCUGAAAUACAUUUCUGGAUACCAUUGUGGUGCCUCAGUAAGGAUAUGCCAGCUUUAAAGUAUUUUUGCCAAAAUUGCAGUGGUAGCCCAGACUUUUUCAAAUUCAAAGACACUUUGAAGUCACAUUAGAAACAGUCAUGCAUCAUUGUUUUCAAGAUAAUCCUUUUGUCUUUAAAAUAAGCCUACAAGUAUUUUAGUCUAUUAUCUCAUCUUCUUUACUUUAAAUGUCACUGUACUUUUGAGAAUGUGACACUUACCAUUUUACUUUUUUCUAGGCCAGAGUCUGACCUGGUGUGACCAGAAGCAACUCUAUUGAUUUCAGCAAAGUUUUGUUUGAUUAAAUUGUGUAAUUGAUGGGACACUGAAAAUAGCUCAACAAAUCUCUUUUGCAAAAUAAGCUGGUCUUUUCUGAGGGAAAAAAAAAAAGAAACUACACCUGUACUGCAAAUACUGCUCCAGUAAACCUAUCAUAGCAAACCAGGCUCACUUCAGCUGGGGGGGAAUGGUGGGGGUGUGUGUGUGUGUGUGUUGUGUGUGUGUGUGUGUGUGUGUGUGUGUGUGUUUGUGUGUGUAAUGGGUAGAAAGGAAUGCUUCAGUUUCUUGGCUUUGUUUUCAUUUCUCCAAGUGAAGAAAGAUGCUAUUGUUGGUAGUUUGCUUUGAAACUGAUAGAAAAAGUUAAGCGAAAUGACUGAAGAUUGAAUUGCUGGAAAUACCUGCAAGAUGAGUUCUUGUAGCGGCAGUCUUUGUGAAUAUUCCUAUCCGUAGAUCACGCCACCCUUAGGGAGGGAGCACAGGACUUCUGCAAUGGAAAAACUCAGCAGUUGUGUCCUUCUAGUUUCCCCCUCUUCCUAGAGAAAUCAAAGAAACAUCCUAGUGGACAUGCUUUGGAAAGUGCCUCUCCAUUUUCCUUGCUUUUCUGCUCCCGUUAAGUACAAGCCAGCUCUGUAAUUACACCUCUCCUGACUAUGAAAUGUUUCUCAGAGGUGAUUCCUCAUUCGGGAUAUCUGAAACACCAGAGGGCAGCAAAAGUGUUAAAGCAGGAAUUGAAAAAGCAUCUACCUUCCCAACAGAAGCACCUCUAUAAUUAUAGAGCAUGACUGUGUAAGAUGAUCAUAAUGCCUUGACAGCAUCAAUCCAUAGUGAAAAUGGUAGAAAACAGAUGUAAUCGUGACAUUACCAAAACUGUGCAGUGGCUACUUCUAAGCAGCACUGCUGGAAGCCGUUGUGACCCAUACAUAUAAAAAUGGAAGAGAAAUAUCAAAAGGUUGCUGGGAGUAACAGAUGCAGCAGGUCUUUAUUUAAGUCACAAUAAAUCAUGAAAUGGUGCUGUAACUCUUACAAAUUAUAGGCUCCCUUCUCCACUGUAGAUCUAUGUACUCUAACCUCUGGACUAGAGAUUGCAGGUCUGUGGAAGUACUUCCACGGGUAGCAACACUUCCCCGUUCUUUUGGCUUCUUCCAUCUAAUGCAGGUAAUUAAAAUCAGGAAGGUGGAUUCCCCUCAGUGUAGCCCUCUGGUGAGGUCUUACACUCGCCAGGCAGUCCCAUGGUACAAAUGUCUGCCCUUCCUUAGGAUGGAACAUUGUGAGAUGUUAAGGACAGCACCAAAUCCAGUCGUCUAUUUCCCAUUUCAGAAGACAGAAAUUCUGAGUCCUUUAAAAAGAAAUAAAA